CCUCAGCUUAGAUCUUUGCCUAAUCUUCAAUAUCGGUAACAACAUUUUGUUUUUCCUUUUGUCUGUUUGUUUUGUGAACUCAAUGAAUUUAUGCUUAUGGUAAAUAAAUUAGACACGUACGGUUUUAUCAAAUGAGUUGACAUUUUACUGGCAGGGAGAUAUAUAGCAAUCAAAUCAAUGGGUCGAUUCCAGCCGAGUUCGGAAAUUUAACAAAAUUGCUCAGCUUUGACCUGUACGAAAAUCAACUCUCAGGUCCAAUUCCAGAUUCGCUUGGCAACUUGAAAGCUCUACUGUUUAUGAGAUUUAACGAUAACAAGCUAGCGGGCACAGUACCCCAGAGUGUCAAAGCCCUUACAAAUGAAAUUUUGAGGAUCCUCUGCAGGGCAACAAUAUCCAGAUAAUCAAAAUAUUGGUGUUCAAAAUCACAUGUUUCCCUAGAGAAUACCGCUUCAACUGGCUGCUGCAGGGCAACAAGUUCCAGCUAAUCAAAAUUCUGGUGUUCAGGAUUACAUUUUUCCCCAGGGAAUACCAUUUCAAUUGGCUG